rnacentral:misc_RNA from 1 species
GAAAUGCGAUAAGUAAUGUGAAUUGCAGAAUUCAGUGAAUCAUCGAAUCUUUGAACGCACCUUGCGCUCCUUGGUAUUCCUUGGAGCAUGCCUGUUUGAGUAUCAUGAAAUCUUCAAAGUAAAUCUUUUGUUAACUCAAUUGGUUUCUACUUUGGUAUUGGAGGUCUUUGCAGCUUCACACCUGCUCCUCUUUGUUCAUUAGCUGGAUCUCAGUGUUAUGCUUGGUUCCACUCGGCGUGAUAAGUUAUCUAUCGCUGAGGACACUGUAAAAGGUGGCCAAGGUAAAUGCAGAUGAACCGCUUCUAAUAGUCCAUUGACUUGGACAAUACUUUUAUGAUCUGAUCUCAAAUCAGGUAGGACUACCCGCUGAACUUAGGC